GACGAACGCUGGCGGCGUGCCUAAUACAUGCAAGUCGAACGCAGUGGGGACGGGUGAGUAACACGUGGGUAACCUCCCAUCAGAGGGGAGAACACUUGGAAACAGGUGCUAAACCGACAUUUAUGUAUCGACUCGGUGUGCUUGAGCUAGUGGGUGGGGUAACGGCUCACCAAGGCCACGAUGCAGAGCCGCGUGGAGAGGGUGAUCGGCCACACUGGGACUGAGACACGGCCCAGACUCCUACGGGAGGCAGCAGUGGGGAAUCUUGGGCAAUGGACGAAAGUCUGACCGAGCAACGCCGCGUGAGUGAAGAAGGUUUUCGGAUCGUAAAACUCUGUUGUUAGAGAAGCGGUAUCGAAACAGAAAGCCACGGCUAACUACGUGCCAGCAGCCGCGGUAAUGC
rnacentral:rRNA from 1 species